CUGUGCCCAAAAUGCUGGCACUUGAAACAACGUCUUGGGUUUGGAAUGUAUGGUCUGACAUUGCAACUGAGAGACCACGCCCUGCUCACUCAGUCCAUCUUCAAUCUCAGAUUCUGUGCAUUCGAUGAGUUCAUCUUCUGAUAUUACACCUUUGGUUAUGUUCAGUGUGCGGUGUACGUUAACAUUUACAGUGCAGCAGGCGUGUCGCCCACCAUGGAGCCCAACUUGGGGAACGUGCCCCGCACGCUAACACCUACCUCUGCACUAUACCCUAGUGCAGCUUCUGGAGAGUGAAAAGACUGCCCAAGGUUGACCCUUGCCGCCAAAGAAGGUGAA